CCUACGGGGGGCUGCAGUGGGGAAUUUUCCGCAAUGGGCGAAAGCCUGACGGAGCAAGACCGCGUGAGGGAGGAAGGCUCUUGGGUUGUAAACCUCUUUUCUCAGGGAAGAAAAAAAUGACGGUACCUGAGGAAUCAGCCUCGGCUAACUCCGUGCCAGCAGCCGCGGUAAUACGGAGGAGGCAAGCGUUAUCCGGAAUUAUUGGGCGUAAAGCGUCCGCAGGUGGCCAUUCAAGUCUGCAGUUAAAGACCGGGGCUCAACUCCGGAGGGGCUGU
rnacentral:rRNA from 1 species